UACGUAGGGUGCAAGCGUUGUCCGGAAUUAUUGGGCGUAAAGAGCUCGUAGGCGGUUUGUCGCGUCUGCUGUGAAAACUCAGGGCUUAACCCUGAGCCUGCAGUGGGUACGGGCAGACUAGAGUGUGGUAGGGGGAGAUCGGAAUUCCUGGUGUAGCGGUGGAAUGCGCAGAUAUCAGGAGGAACACCGGUGGCGAAGGGCGGAUCUCUGGGGCCAUAACUGACGCUGAGGAGCGAAAGCAUGGGG
rnacentral:rRNA from 1 species